rnacentral:sRNA from 1 species
ACUUGGCGCGCGGCGCGGGAUGCAGACGGCUGCGAGGCGCUGGGCACAGCACCCAGAAGAAUCCUGUAUUUAAUUGGCUCAUAUGGAAAAUUUUAGAAAGAGAGAGACAUCGGGGCUCAGACUAUCUUCUGAUCAGGAACCAAAAUGAGCUGGGAGUUGCUGUCCCCUUUGACGAUGAUGACAAGAUCGUUGGGGGCUACACCUGUGAGAAUUCUCUCCCCUACCAGGUGUCCCUGAAUUCUGGCUCCCACUUCUGCGGUGGCUCCCUCAUCAGCGAACAGUGGGUGGUAUCAGCAGCUCACUGCUACAAGACCCGCAUCCAGGUGAGACUGGGAGAGCACAACAUCAAAGUCCUGGAGGGGAAUGAGCAGUUCAUCAAUGCGGCCAAGAUCAUCCGCCACCCCAAAUA